GUAGCUCGUGCGGUUAUUUGAAAUUUUGCCUGAAUCCAACCAAACUUGAGCCAAGAGAGAAGCAUUGGAUCGAGCAUUUAUUCUUCUUCUCGGUGAUUUGAUCUGCAAAAGGGUUGGCUUCUUGAUUAUCCGUUCUCGGGCUCUCGCUUCGUGAAUCGAUUCUAAGUUCUGAUGAUGAUACUUGGUUUGGCGAAGAUGAUUUCUCCUUCCGGCGACCGGGCAUGAUUGCCUAAGCACGGAUAUUCUUAGCUCUUCAUGGCAUUCUUCUUCUGCUGGCGAGGCUUUUACCGUCGAGUUUGCUCGCGACAACCAGCCUCAUGUAAUCCUCAUGAUUCGUUGUUUUGUACAGUGCACCGCUCUUUCCGGUAAGAUCUGGAAAUGGGCCAAUUGAAGCUUCUAUAUUUGGACUGUGGAAUGCUGCAAUUGAGAGGCGUUCCUUUUCUGGAUUCACUACUGCUCUGUGCUCUAUGCUCUUGUACUGUCCAUUGCUCAUUAUCUGCAUCAAACGUGAAGAUCAAUCAUGGCAUCACUUUUACGCACAGGGAAGUGGUAGUGAAAUUAUG